UACGGAGGGGGCGAGCGUUAUUCGGAAUUAUUGGGCGUAAAGGGCGCGUAGGCGGCCCUGCAAGUCAAAGGUGAAAUCCCUCGGCUCAACUGAGGAACUGCCUUUGAAACUGCGGGGCUUGAGGCCGGGAGGGGGUAGCGGAAUUCCCAGUGUAGCGGUGAAAUGCGUAGAUAUUGGGAGGAACACCAGUGGCGAAGGCGGCUACCUGGACCGGUAUUGACGCUGAGGUGCGAAAGCGUGGGGAGCAAACAGG
rnacentral:rRNA from 1 species